AGAGUUUGAUCCUGGCUCAGAACGAACGCUGGCGGCGUGCCUAACACAUGCAAGUCGUACGAGAAAAUCCGCUUCGGCGGGUGAGUAAAGUGGCGCACGGGUGAGUAACGCGUGGAUAAUCUGCCUUUAAGCGGGGAAUAACUUACCGAAAGGUGGGCUAAUACCCCAUAAAGCUAUGGAGCUCCGGUUUUCAUAGCCAAAGAGAGCCUCUGCAUGCAAGCCCUCACUUAGAGAUGAGUCCGCGUACCAUUAGCUAGUUGGUGGGGUAAUGGCCUACCAAGGCGACGAUGGUUAGCUGGUCUGAGAGGAUAAUCAGCCACACUGGAACUGAGACACGGUCCAGACUCCUACGGGAGGCAGCAGUGAGGAAUAUUGCGCAAUGGGGGCAACCCUGACGCAGCAACGCCGCGUGAGUGAGGAAGGUUUUCGGAUUGUAAAGCUCUGUCGGGUGGGAAGAAAUGUAUGGAGGUUAACAGCCUUUGUACUUGACGGUACCGCCAAAGGAAGCACCAGCUAACUCCGUGCCAGCAGCCGCGGUAAUACGGGGGGUGCUAGCGUUGUUCGGAAUCAUUGGGCGUAAAGAGCGUGUAGGCGGCUAGGCAAGUCAGAUGUGAAAUCCCUGGGCUUAACCCAGGACGUGCAUUUGAAACUGCUUGGCUUGAGUAGGGAAGAGGGAAGUGGAAUUCCUGGUGUAGAGGUGAAAUUCGUAGAUAUCAGGAGGAACACCGGUGGCGAAGGCGACUUCCUGGUCCUAUACUGACGCUGAGACGCGAGAGCGUGGGGAGCAAACAGGAUUAGAUACCCUGGUAGUCCACGCCGUAAACGAUG
rnacentral:rRNA from 1 species